CAGAAAUGAAGUAAAGGCAUUUGGAAGGAGGAGUGAAGCAGAAUUGUUCCAAUCAUUGGGGAUUCAGCAGUGAACAAAACAGACACAAUUCCUUGGUUUCAAGAUACCUGCAUUCUGAUAAAACGUGUGAGACGAUAAUAACCAAGGUUGUGUCACACCUUUUCCUGAACUUUGGCUCAAUUGAAGAAGGAAACUUUCAGGGGAAUUCCAAUAGUAAACAACAGAACCAGCAGUUUUACAAUAAACUGCAGAGCUCCAUUUCAAAACACAAAAAUAGAGCGUCUCUGCAGUGAUGUACUGCCUUAAGGAAGGGUCUUCUCUGUAGUCCUGGAAAUUCCCAGUGUUCCCUCCCUCGUGCUUUUAAUCUUGCUGUUCAAGGUUGAAUUCUUCUCUUUUUGCCUCUCCAGGAAUCCUAAUUGUUCAAGGUCUUGCUUCUGGUCCUCCUGAGGCCUCCCUACCUCCUGUGGGUCCCUUCAGUGAUCUCUAAAUUGUUUCAGUUAAAUUUAAACUGUGUAGGAACAAGGACCAUGUGCUGUACUUAAAAAUGCCACAUCCCUUACAGAGCCUGGUUAUAGUUCUGGGCAUGUAGUAGGUGUAAAUUUAAUAUGUGUUGACUGUUUAAAAACUUCUGUUAACUUAAUCAGAAAACAAGAAAAAUUUACCAAGUCUUUUACUGCUUUCAAAACAUGUCUAGUAUGUAUGUUUCUUAUGUUUUAAAAUGCCUCUGCUCAUUUUGUUCUUGUGCUAAUGCAGAGCAACAACAGAGGGUGAACAUCAGGUGUGCUCUUUUACAUACGGUAGGGAAGGUGGAGAGAUGCCAUUGAAACCCAUCUGGAAGAGUGAAGAGAGUAGGAACACCAAAGUAGUAAAUAAAUUCAUAAACAUAGGAGAGAGUUUGUUGAUAGCCUGAAGGAGCAUCCCAAAUGCAUUAAAAACAACUGCAGAUUCUCAUGAUGCUAAGCUAGGGGAACUCGGGCAAGUAAUUGUGUUUGAUUUGCUUGCUUUUCUUGACUAAAUCAAGAAAACAACAUACAAAUGGAAUGCAGUGUAGUGGCCAAAGGAAAAAGGAAAACCCCAAACUCAGAAUGCUGUGAGUGUGAAAUGACCUUUUAGUUACUUUCUCCUGUUUUUUUUUUCUACUGCUGUUUGUGAUUCAGGAAAGACAGCUUUUUAUGUGUCUCUGCUAAACCUGGGGUAGCUAUUCUUUCAAUUUUUAAAAGUCUCUCAACAGAUGCUAUCUCCUGAAACACAAAACAAAAACAGAACAGAACAAAACAAAAAAAAAAAACAAAGCAGAACAGUACAAACCCAUAGAUAACUCUCCCUCCUCAUACCAAACUAGGCAUACUCUGAAAUCGGGGGAGAAUAAUUCUUUUUUAUAUUUCUCUAUGUUCGAUGGUAGGUUUGGGUGUGCAUAGGUUAUGUUUCUUACAGCAUUCUCAUUUUAGAAUAUUUAUAUUAAGUUCCUUUUGCAAAUCCACAGCAGAUAACAUGGAUGGGGAGGGUUUCUGCUAAUUCCCGUGUAAAUCAUCCCAGUGGCUAAACAACAGAGAUUAUUGUUAGAUGGGUUAUUGAAAAUAAAGCACUCAUCAUUUUCUAUUCUUUUGGCAGAAACAGUAGUUGCAUGAGGCACCUAGGCAUGGUUUGUUCUGUUGCUGAUUUAAUCCUUCCUCUUUUCCUUCCUUCUCUCCUUGCCUUCCUUCUAUUUCUCCUUCUUUUUUCUCAGCUUGCUGUGCAGUGAUUCUAAAACACAAUGACCUCCCAAUGUCUAGUACUUGCCCACUUCAUAUGGGAAGUACCCUAGCCUGAGUUUCCUGCUUUCUUAAUAUCUACUUCCAUGGGUGCAUGUUAUCUAUGGACACAUAAUCAAAAUGUAAAAACAGUUUGGCUCCCACGUUUAGCAACACUCAGUGUGAUCUUCCUUAAUGUUUGGCCCGUUGUGUCACAUAGACUUUCCUUGUAUUUUAAUAUGCAUUUUCCUCCAGUCCUUGUUGAAUUCAUUUGCAUUGCUCUUUAGUUCUUGCUGAUAAUUCUUUUCAGUAAUGGUGUCAUAUCAGAUUUAAAAAUCUGGAAAAUAGUUUGACAUUUAUAAGGUAUGUUUUGAUUUUGCAGGAAAAUAGAUGUGCUUUUUUGUUUGUUUGUUUUUUGGUCUCAUUCUCCUUCUCAAUUCUUUGAAAAAAAAUGCAACAGGAAGAAGCAGCUAAAUAGUAGCCAAUAGGUAUUCUAGUAUGUAAUGAGGAAUAUUAAAUAAUCACUCCUAAAGCCCGUGGCAUUUGCCUAUCAUGAUGGAGACCAGUGACAAAUAAUAAUACAUCUGUAACAUUGUAUCAAUAAUGUUAGCUGGAGUGGUGAGCACCCUUGAUUUUGAAAGCAGCUUUGAAACUCAAGUGUGCUAACAGUAGAGAAACUAAGAGAAGAAUCUACAAGAUGUGUUAAACUGAGAAGGAGGGAAGGAGCCAGGGUAGUUUAGCUUGCAGAAGAGGAGACAAAAUGAGAUGUGAAAGAGGGAGCAGACUCUGUCCACAUUGUCCCUGAAGGCCUGCUGGGUUUGCUGCCUUCUAGAAAUAGUCUAGCAGAGGUUGGAUGACUAAAUUUCAGGAAUGUUACCAACAAUGCUUUCCUGGGGUGAGUGUAGGGCAGAUGGUGUCCUUGGUCUCUGCGUGAGAAACAGAGAGAUUCUGAGCUGCAUAGUUAAGAAAGUGCGGGGCAUCAUCAGGGGCAGAGAAUGAAAUCUGGCAUUGAGCUUUUCCGGGGGCUUGAAGCUCUGACUGUGUUACAUGUGACAGCACCUCCUGCUUCCUGUUUGCUGUGAGUUUGAGGUUGUGGCCUGCAGCAGUUGUUAGGGAAGUCUGUAAGCCUGCACCUAUGGAGUGGGGCUUCCGGGAGCCUGGGAGGAGCACCACCCAGACUGGGCUCAGCAACUUGGGGCUGAAUAUUUCUUUCUUUCUUUUCUUUCUUUCUUUUUUUUUUUUGAGAUGAAGU
rnacentral:lncRNA from 1 species